rnacentral:rRNA from 1 species
UACGGAGGGUGCAAGCGUUAUCCGGAUUUACUGGGUUUAAAGGAUGCGUAGGCGGACAUUUAAGUCAGAUGUGAAAUACCCGAGCUUAACUUGGGUGCUGCAUUUGAAACUGGGUGUCUAGAGUGCAGGAGAGGUAAGUGGAAUUCCUAGUGUAGCGGUGAAAUGCGUAGAGAUUAGGAAGAACACCAGUGGCGAAGGCGACUUACUGGACUGUAACUGACGCUGAGGCACGAAAGCGUGGGGAUCAAACAGG